rnacentral:sRNA from 1 species
GAUGAUGGAAAACGGCAUGAUCGUAGUAGGUGCGCGCAUGGGCAUGGCAGAAUAGCUGCCGGGCGAAAGCACCCAUGCGCGGAGAAAUGAGCCCCUCAUAGGGGCUUUUUUAUUGCCUCGU